ACUGACAGGAGCCUUUGAUAAACCUCAUAAGAAUGAAGUCAUCUUCAGGUCACCUCCUCUGCCUGGCCUUUAGCAUCCCGCACAUACCACCAUUAUCUGCUGAAUAGGAGACAAAGGAAAUUAGCUCCAAUUCCCUAUCAUCCCCAUUAUUUCCACACCGAUUUAAACAAUGAGGCAAUGAGAUGCCCUUCACUUUCCUCAGAAAGGUACAAAUGUCAGCUGUUAAGAAAUGCAAACAAGAGGGUUCCCAUGUUAAUGGAUGGGCUUCUUUGUAAAGCCAUGAAGUGGUAAAGUGGAUUUAUUCACUGCCUGCCUGCUUAACAUACUUCUAAACAAAUUCUUUAACCAUUUUUAUUUUACACACAGUGCAGAGUGCUUGAGAAGCCGCAUUGUUUUGGUCUGGAGAUUUAUAAUGAGGUGAUAUACCACACUCUGUUGUGUUGGUUUUUUUACAUAUGCAGUUGUCAGAGCUUCAUUUGAGCUCUGAUAUAUACAAAAAGGUUUAGCUGCAUACGAAUCCAAAUACUGAGAUGUAGGAAAACCACCUCCAGGUUCAACUGAGAAAACAGAUUUGGAUAUGCUGGACGGAGGAAACGAGCAUGAAUCAGAACAGAAUCUCUCCAGAAAUUUGAAAGUCUUUUUAUGCAUGGUUCUCCCAAGACCAAUUGUGGCUGGAAGGAUUCCCUUUUAGAUUUGGGCAUAUAAACUCCAACAGAAGCCUGCUAGCUGAUAUAAUGCUUAAACAAGUUGAAAAGCUACUAGUGUGGCCUGCACCAUUAAAGAACUCCAGCUGCUUUUCAAUUAUACCUUCCUUGUUCCUCAUUUCUCUACAUUCCACCUCAGAUUGGAAAAUCUUCAAUUGCCACAGUUUAGUUGGUGCUGACAAUAAAAGGACAGUCCUCUGACAGCUCUGGGGAACCUUUAAUUCAUGUUACUUCUUCAAGUAUUUAGCUAGCUAGCACCAAAGAUGGGAAGCUUGUUUCCCUUUCCUAAGGUUCCUCUUUUCCAAGAUGAUGUUUCUGUCUUGAUAAUGAUGGACUUCGUCACCAAACUGCCUUUUUUUCUGACCCUGACAUCAAGCUGUCAUCCUGAAUGAAGAUGAGUCCCAGGCUUGGAUAACCUAGGCCAUGGCCUAGUCUUGGGAGCAUCCAUCAGCCUCCCUAGUAUUUUUAAGUCAUUUGAAAUUGCACUUUUCCACUGAUAAGGGUGGAAAGCUCAACACGUUUCCUUGUGUCCUGCUGCACGCUUUCUGAUUGAAAUCUGGAGGAGGAGCUGAGCAGUGGUUAUGAGUUUGGCAACCACAAAGAUUCUCUUAGAGACCCUGCUGUGUAAAAGUGCAGAUCAAGGUACAAAAGCACUCCUCUGGAGAGCUUGUUUUCCUUAGAUAGGGAUGGCUGAUAUGCAUGUAGCUAUUCUGUGCAGAGAUUGAAAGCUGUCUGCAUUGCCAAGUGUUUUGUCUUUUUUCAAGCAUGACUCUCUCCCACGAUUUGUUCUUCACAUGCAACCAGUCACCUCUUGAGGUGUUCAGCUUUCCCUCUAUGCAGAUAAAUGGACACACCAAAAAGAUCGACAGAUACACUGGCACCAACACAGUUUCACUUAGAUCACUUUACAGUAAAUACGGAAGUCCCUCUGAAGAAGCAGGAGCAUGGCAACAACUCUAAUCUCAAGGUUUAGAUUUUUAUUUUUUAAGCAGAAGUAUCAGCUGUCUGCAGUUCAAAGUGAGGGGCUGAGGAUGGGGGACUUAUGCCUCCCAUUUUGCUUUUAAAAAGGUCACAGUGAAAGCAUGUGAUUGAAUAUUUUGCAUGGAACUGCCUAUGACAAAGACAAAGACAAGGGGUUUGACAGAGUGCUACGAAAAGCAAGUGAGAGAAAAGGAGAGAAAGAUCUGUGUUAGAUUUUUGAGGUAUAUUUGAAAGAAUGAAAUAAAAAAAAAUGCUUUCAAAUCCUCGGGGACUUUCCAAUUUAUCAAGAAAGACACAUUCUUCCUAAUGAAAGGUUACUGACCUUCAUGAAUGUGACAGUUCAAUUACAGCCCAUUCAUAUGCAGAGCAGCCGUUGAUAAAGGAUUUAGGAAAUGUGACUAGCAUAGC
rnacentral:lncRNA from 7 species